rnacentral:rRNA from 1 species
GAUGAACGCUGGCGGCGUGCCUAAUACAUGCCAGUCGAGCGAACAGACGAGGAGCUUGCUCCUCUGACGUUAGCGGCGGACGGGUGAGUAACACGUGGAUACCCUACUUAUCAGAGUGGGAUAAUUUCGGGAAACCGGAGCUAAUACCGGAUAAUCUAUUGAACCGCAUGGUUCAAUAGUGAAAGUCGGUUUUGCUGGCACUUCUAGCUGGAUCCGCGCCUCAUUAGCUAGUUGGUGAGUUCACGGGUUACCAAGGCAACGCUGCGUAUCCGACCUGCGAGGGUGGUCGGCCACACUGGAACUGAGACACGCUCCAGACGCCUACGGGAGGCGGCAGUAGGGAAUCUUCCGCAAUGGGCGAAAGCCUGACGGAGCAACGCCGCGUGAGGGAUGAAGAUCUUCGGAUCGUAAAACUCUGUUAUUAGGGAAGAACAAAUGUGUAAGUAACUAUGCACGUCUUGACGGUACCUAAGCAGAAAGCCACGGCUAACUACGUG